ACUCCCUUCACCAUGUCGGUUUCUCCCUCAUUCUCACCUCUUUCCCAAAUCAAUUUUCAAAAACCCUAAAUCCAUCUCCCAUUUUUUUUCAUCGCCCGCAUCUCUCUCUUCUUUUCGUCGCCGGAAAUGGCUCGCCUUCCUCACGGCCGCGUCGACACCGUGUCACUGCCAGCUUGGCGGAUUUUGCGCCUUCGGAGACAGAGAAGGCGUCGCCUCCCUCCACGGACACAGCUCAGCACCGCCUCUAUGAUCUCUCUCUCCGGCGUUCGUUGCACUGCUGCCAAAUCCCCGCUCUCGGCGAGCCUCACAGCCGCCGCUCCUUCCCUCGUGACGUAGCGCCACCGACAGACGACCUCCUCUAAGCUAAGUUUUCUGCCCUUUAAUGCUUAGCUUGGUUCGUAGGUUUCAUUUGGCAAAGCUAUGUAAAAUCGAUUUAUGACUAUUGGUGAUGUUCAAGCUUUGGUCUUGUGAGAGUUCGAUUACUGUUCAUCUAAUUAGUUUGUACCAGGAGCUUUGUGUUAUGAUCCUUGGCAGAAAUUUAGCUCACUGUAAUGAACUCUUACAUAGAUAUGCUACGCUUUUCCCCUACUGACUGUUAUGGUUUGGCUGUUGGUUAUUUCUAUGGCUUCUUAAGUGAUCAUGCUUCUAUGAUUCUAAGUUCUUGACUAUUUAUGGUGCCUUCCCUAAAUGAUGCAAGAGUGUAUUGUGGGGUUACCUACUGAGAAAUGGGCUGUGAGGUUGUGGGAUCUCCGGCCGAGCUUAGAAUGAACUCUCUCUUUGCUUUGUUCUGCUGCUGGAACAUUGUGGGAAUGUGAAGGGAAUUGGGUGAGCAUGGAGGGGUUCUCUUAUAGGGGAGGGGUGUACUCGUAGGGUCCAAUCUAGUUGCUGCAUUCUUGUUACAUCCUGCAGCUCUUUUAACCGCUUUUGGCAUUUUGUAAUUGCUUAGUACCUUGUUCAUUUAUAGCAAUUGUCCCUUGUGGCAGGUGUACAAUGGUUGGCAGGGAUUUGUAGGUAAUUUUCUCAGCGAUGGCAGAGGUGAGAUGGGGUAUGAGCUGCCCAAAAUCAGCCUUGCCAGGUACCUGCAGCGGCUGGGAUGGAGAUGCCGGCUGGGCUUGCUUCUUUCAGCCCAAGCACUUCCUCACUUUUGGCAAGGGACAGGGAGACCGAUCCCUUCUGGCUGCAGUCUCUUUGGUUCGGCCCAACAGGCCGUCGAAAAUCUGGGCCGAAAUCCGUGCUAAAAGCGGCCCGAAGCUAGUAGUUCCAUAUUGUAAUAGAGUAGUGUUUCUACUUUGAAGUCUUCCCCUUUCUUUCCAAACAUGUAUGCAAAUCUAUAUAAAAGUUGGUGUGUAUUUUGUUUCCUAAAUUUCCAUCAUCAAUUAUUUGUAAUCUAAGACUUAGCUUGAGAUUUAUACAUUGUAUUUCAUUUACUUAAGAAAUAAAUGGAUACACUUUCGCUUCA